CACUAUGGACUUUUAUUAAGAACAUAAACUACAACUCAAACUCUCAGCUAAAUCAUGGCCAGGACCCUGGAGAAAUGUGGGAAGGAAAGCAUGGACUGCAUAAGCGACCUCAUUUGAUGUACAUAGAAGUGCUGCUUCUGAAUUGAUUUUCAUGGUAACCGGGAGUACGAAGAGGUUGAAAGGAAGUCCUUCACUAAGACCUGGCAGACACCCUCCACCUGACAGGAGUAACAAUCCCACCUAGAAGAAAAUCAUGGCAGAGAUGACAAAGCAGUGAGGACCCCAGCUCAGCUUUUUAAAAAAAGACCAGAACACCAGCUAUUCUGCAGCAGAAGAGGCAUAAGUUGUCCCAGAUACAUGUGAACUUUGAUCACAUGUGUUUUUAACAUGCAUGCCCCGUUCUUUGUAUUUCCUGGUCAUGCAUGUU